CACCGCGGUUAUACGAGAGACCCAAGCUGACAGUCGCCGGCGUAAAGAGUGGUUAAUUCACCCUAAAAAACUAAAGCCGAACAUUUCCAAAGCUGUAAAACGCACUCGAAGACAUGAAGACCAACCACGAAAGUAGCUUUACAUCACUUGAAUCCACGAAAGCUAGGAAA
rnacentral:rRNA from 1 species